GUUCCAGGAGGAGUGAGAAGCCUGUCAGCAUGCAAUUCAGAUCAGACUUGCAGUUAGCUUCACAAGUCUUCAAUUCAGUGUUGUGUUUGUCCUACCGUCUCGAUCAGAUCUGACAAUCAUUUGCUAUAACAAGGCAUAUCAGAAGUGAUAGAUAGAUACAAUAGCUUGGAGAACAUAUGGAGAACUUGAAUCGAAGAAGGGAUGGUUUAUGAUCACUCACCAAUCAUAAUCAUGCUUCCCAACAUCAGCAGACAAGAGGUCAUCCAUUCUGCUCUUCAUCAAGGAUCCCUUUCCUGUUCUUUCUUGUGUGAUUGAUACUGCAACAGUCACCACAACAACAUUUCUCCAAGUAACACAGCAGAACUAAAGUCUUUCUAGAUGCUUGAAUUUUCAGUAAUAGAAAAGAGAUUCAGCGAAUCAAACAUGAAAUUUUCAGUAAAUCUUUUGUUGUUCAAAGAUAGAAGAAGAUGCAUUAAGUUGAAUGGAAUCUUUCACACGCAGAUCCUCACCUUUCUGAUGGUCAGAUCCAUGAUGUGAACUAGCUCUGUUCUGGUGUAUCCUCCAGAAGAGAUCCAGGCUUUCAUCUCCUUCCUUUGUUCCUCCUCCGCAAAGCUGCUGCACGUUCCUCCCUCCCGUCGGUGGCCCUGUCCCUGUCCUGUUCAUCUGUCGAAAGCAUCAAAGUUGUUACCAAGUGUGAUGCAAGUUGCUUCAGUUGCAUGUCUUCAUUCCAUCUUCUCUGACACCAGAAGUCCUUGAGAGAAAGAGAAAUAAGGUAAGGAGGAAUUCUCCUCAGAUCUGAGUGUGAGAGGGUGGCAAGGAAGGACCAUUAAAUGGAUCAGAGAAAAAACUGUGAUAAAGCAUGUGUACUUUAAUCUUUUCUGCUACCUUCUCUACACUGUAAACUGAUUCCCACACCUUUUAUGCCUUCUCAAAGUUUUACCAGAGCUUCCUGGUUUGUCUUGUUCAUGUGAUGUCCAACUGUUCUCCAAUGACAUUGGAUUAUGUUGCAUGAAUAUAGGGAAAAUUUUCUUGGU